rnacentral:rRNA from 1 species
AAUAGAUACCCGGGUAGUCCACACCGUAAACGUUGGGCGCUAGGUGUGGGAUCCAUUCCCACGGGUUCCGUGCCGCAGCUAACGCAUUAAGCGCCCCGCCUGGGGAGUACGGCCGCAAGGCUAAAACUCAAAGGAAUUGACGGGGGCCCGCGCAAGCGGCGGAGCAUGCGGAUUAAUUCGAUGCAACGCGAAGAACCUUACCUGGGUUUGACAUACGCCGGAAGCUCCCAGAGAUGGGGGUCUCUUUGAUACCGGUGUACAGGUGGUGCAUGGCUGUCGUCAGCUCGUGUCGUGAGAUGUUGGGUUAAGUCCCGCAACGAGCGCAACCCUUGUCUCAUGUUGCCAGCACGCUUCCCUUUGGGGGUGUGGGGACUCAUGAGGGACUGCCGGGGUCAACGUCGGAGGAAGGUGGGGAUGACGUCAAGUCAUCAUGCCCCUUAUGUCCAGGGCUUCACGCAUGCUACAAUGGCCGGUACAGACCGCUGGCGAUCCCGUGAGGGGGAGCGAAUCGGAAAAAGCCCGGUCUCGAGUUCGGAUUGGGGUCUG